rnacentral:tRNA from 7 species
GAUUUGGUAGCUCAGCUGGUAGAGCAUCUCACUUUUAAUGAGAGGGUCCUGGGUUCGAGCCCCAGCCAGAUCACAA